UACGUAGGGGGCGAGCGUUGUCCGGAUUUAUUGGGCGUAAAGAGCUCGUAGGCGGUUUCGUAAGUCGGAUGUGAAAACUCCAGGCUCAACUUGGAGACGCCAUUCGAUACUGCGAUGACUUGAGUCCGGUAGGGGAGUGUGGAAUUCCUGGUGUAGCGGUGAAAUGCGCAGAUAUCAGGAGGAACACCAGCGGCGAAGGCGGCACUCUGGGCCGGUACUGACGCUGAGGAGCGAAAGCGUGGGUAGCAAACAGG
rnacentral:rRNA from 1 species